GGGCCAGUGGCACAAUGGAUAAUGUGUCUGACUUCAGCUCGGAAGAUCAUAGGUUCUAUUCCUACCUGGUUUG
rnacentral:tRNA from 1 species